GCCGCCGCGGCUCAGCUAGAAGUGACAGUGCGCCAGGCGCGCUCCCAUCACCUUUUUUGCCUCCUGCGUCCUCCUCCAGCCCGGGGCGGCGAGAUGGAGACGCUGCUUGUGGACGAAGAGAGGCCGGAGCGGGGCUCGGCCCCGGAGGGCGUGUGAAGCCCUCGCUCCCCGCCGAGCGGAGUCCAGUGGAUACGCUCGACUUCACUUUCAUACUGGAAUUUAACCACGUGGCUUGGAUACAUCCCAGCAAUAGCCAUCUUUACUCUGUGUGUGAACUAAAAUCCAAAACAAGAGAUGAGGAGAUUUGUCUAUUGCAAGGUGGUUCUCGCCACCUCUCUGAUGUGGGUGCUUGUGGAUGUCUUUUUACUCUUGUACUUCAGUGAAUGUAACAAAUGUGAUGACAAGAAAGAGAGGUCACUGCUGCCUGCUCUAAGGGGUAAGCGCAAGUUCUAAAUUAUGUACAAAGGUCACAGAUUUGUUUGGAAGAAUUUGUCCUGACCUGGAACUUGGACUGUGUUAUGUUAUGUAUGUAAAAUAUCAGAAUCUUAAGCAUUCUGAUUCAUAUUACUGUAUUUAGUUCACCUUGUUGGUUGUGUUAAUUUGUCUUAAUAUUAGAUUAGCAUACUAGCAUCUCAGACAAUUUUGUAUAAAUAAAAUUAAGUAUACAGCUCUUAUUUACAUGGAAGUAUUUGUGUAGGAGAAACCACAGUUCUGUGAAGAGGUUUUCAUAAAGGAAAAACUUGACUGACAUGCAAAUCGGUUGAUAUGCAGAGUCUAUAUAACUGCAUUUAUUAUGGUACAUGUUGAAUUAAAAGUUUGGUUUAACUCUAGUCAAACUUAAAAAACAAAAAGAAAACCUUUUACUUAAUCUUCCAUAGAGAGACAUCCGGAUCGUGUUUGAUUUAACUGUAGCUGCAUAGGGGGUAGAGACUGGCAAAUAUUUAGCCACUCUUUCUCCUCCAUCCUACUCCCGCUCUUCCCCUCCCAUCCCCCACGCAGCAUCCACCCAAAAACCUCCCUCCUCUAAUGUUCAUUCAGAAGAUUAAAUGAACUAGAGUUGUCUGUUUUUUGCUUUCUUCAAAUAUUUUAAUAAUUUGCUUUACUGGCAGUUAUUUAAAUGGAAACUGAAUCUUAAGAGAUUAUAACAGAAAUAGUCAUGGAAAGCAAAAUUGAAUGUGUAAUUGUGAAUAUUUGUACUGCAAACUGGUUCUAAAGUUUCUCAUUGGCUAAGAGCAUAACAUUGCUUCUUCUGUCCAGUGGGUUCAAAUAACAAAGUUGAAAUGUAGGCUGAUGCUUGUUUGAAAACAACCUCCCAGAGCAAGAAUAAGUCAUUGAUAUUUGAAAGGGAAUUUUGGUUUAAUGGAUAUGUUGGAGAAUCUUAAUCAGUGGAAAAUUAACAAACAGAAGAGGAAAUAAAAUUUGUCAAAUUUUUCAUUAUGAAUUAAUUGCUUACCUCUGCUAGGGAGUCUAGGUACAGUCUAUGCAGGAGGCAAAGUAGUUUGAGUCUCUAAUAGGAUUGGGACAAGUCCUAUUUAACUACUAUAUUUAUAAUGUAUCUUUUGCUGAGAGUAUGCAAAAGAGAGUGUACAAGGCCAUCAGUUUUAUAACGAAUGCAUAUGUGGAUUAAUGCACUGAUCUGUGGACAAAAGUUGGGAAUAAAUCAGUCCUGCCAUUUGUUUUUGUUGUGUGUAAGGCUUGGUUCAAUUGCUGUUUCUGCUAAAAGUUGAAAUACCUCAUGAUGGAUCAUUUCAGUUUGGAAUGAUCAGUUUGUCAUUUGUUGAACUGAUUCAGUCAGAUCAGUUGCCAAAAGCAGUCAGGGCCUGAGUCAGCAAAAAAUCUGUCUGGCUUCUCAGCCAGUAGACAUAGGUUUGUCUGUCUUUUUCUGAGUUUAGAGCUUCAUUUAUUUAUAGUGAAAUAAAUAAAUAGAAUUCUGUUACAAAGGCUAUAACUAGUGAUUGAGUUGGUUUUGUGUGUCCGAAAUAUUCAGUUGUAAAGUAAAUGAGUGUAUAAAAAGUUGUCUCUUUCUUGGUACAUGUAUUGGAUUUGUUACAAAAAUUUGAAUAAAGACUUUUUGGUAAAUAAUAGCUCUGUCUGAGAAAGGACUUAGAGGAUUUCAUCCAUUUAAAAUAAAAAUGAAAACAAACCAAAAGCCUUAACUAAAUAAUAAAGGUGCUUAAAAGCAUCCUAGGGAUUCAUUGCUAUAUGUCUGUUUUAAUAUUUUCUUAUUUGUUUUAAUUUCUUGCAUUUAGGUUUUAGAUCUGGGUAAUCUAGUGUGUUUGAUUUUAGUGGGAAUACUUGAUGAUGAAGAUCUGGCCUAUUGUAACUAAAAAUUGAUUUGUCUUUAUCGUGAGCUGCGGAAAGAGGAGCACAGAUUACCUCUAAGGCAGGGGUUCUCAACCUUUUUCUUUCUAAGGCACCCAGCAUGCUAUAAAAACUCCAUGGCGCACAACUAUUGUUUUAUUGCAUAUAAGAGCCAGGUCCAGCAUUAGAGGGUAGCAAGCAGGGCAGUUGGCAAGGGCCCAUGCCACAGGGGACCCUACGAAGCUAAGUUGCUCAGGCUUCGGCUUCAGCCGUAUGCAGUGGGGCUUCAACUUUCUGCCUUUGACCCCAACAAAUCUAAUGUUCGCCCUGCUUAGUGGCCCCUGUGAAACCUGCUCAUGGCCCCACAGGGGGCUCCAGAUCCCUGGCUGAGAACCACUGCUCUAAAGUACAAAGUAGAGAUUUCUCAAAAGAUACUGUACUGUUGUCAGAACAUGCUUUUCAUAGAUAAUUAUACUAAUCUUAACUAUUUGGUUGCUGAUUUCAUUGUAAAAUAAAAAAUGAGACAAUUCGACCAUGGUUCUUGUUUUGGUGUUAACUCUGUGCUUGUUUUUUUAACGUCAGUUAAGUUUUUUUUUCUCUUCAGAAUUUAUAUUGAAAUGUAUGCAUCUGACCAUCGCAGGGCUAAACAUUUUGCUAAUUUGUAUGGGUUAGCUAAAUAAAUUAUUUUAAAAAACCCUGUACAUAAUCCAUCAGAUUUUAUUUCAUAAUCAAUUUGAGUGACUAGACUGCAGUAGGCAUCUUGUAAACCGUGGUAUCUACUUUUCAUGAGUUUUAAUAGCCAGUUUAUUGGAUUUAAUGUGUU